rnacentral:rRNA from 1 species
GGAAUUUUGCGCAAUGGGCGAAAGCCUGACGCAGCAAUACCGCGUGAGUGAAGAAGGCCCUUGGGUCGUAAAGCUCUUUGUCCAACGAAGGAUAAUGACCUAGUUGGGAAUAAGCGCGGGCUAACUCCGUGCCAGCAGCGGCGGUAAUACGGAGGGUGCGAGCGUUGUUCGGAUUUACUGGGCGUAAAGGGCGCGUAGGCUGUGUCGCAAGCUAAGGGUGAAAUCCCGGGGCUCAACUCCGGAACUGCUCUUGGAACUGCGAUGCUAGAGAAUGUCAGAGGCAAGUGGAAUUCCUGGUGUAGAGGUGAAAUUCGUAGAUAUCAGGAGGAACACCGGCGGCGAAGGCGGCUUGCUGGGGCAUUUCUGACGCUGAGGCGCGAAAGCGUGGGUAGCA